rnacentral:lncRNA from 1 species
GUCUUAGCAUCGUGACCCAGCCAUAGAUGUCAACACGAAGGCCCUUUAGAAACUUCCUACCUUUUCGACUUUCGGGGGUGACCAUUAGAGAGGCAAACCUAGACAGUUGGAUGAAAUGGGCUGCAUACUGGACAACUGUUAGAUUUUCGUAGCGAAGUUCCUGAAAUUCCUCCUCUUUCUUUUCUCAGACAUAGGCAGGAAAAAAAUUAUCAAAGA